rnacentral:rRNA from 1 species
UAAUUGGGCGUUAAGUUGCAGGGUAUAGACCCGAAACCCGGUGAUCUAGCCAUGGGCAGGUUGAAGGUUGGGUAACACUAACUGGAGGACCGAACCGACUAAUGUUGAAAAAUUAGCGGAUGACCUGUGGCUGGGGGUGAAAGGCCAAUCAAACCGGGAGAUAGCUGGUUCUCCCCGAAAGCUAUUUAGGUAGCGCCUCGUGAAUUCAUCUCCGGGGGUAGAGCACUGUUUCGGCUAGGGGGCCAUCCCGGCUUACCAACCCGAUGCAAACUGCGAAUACCGGAGAAUGUUAUCACGGGAGACACACGGCGGGUGCUAACGUCCGUCGUGAAGAGGGAAACAACCCAGACCGCCAGCUAAGGUCCCAAAGUCAUGGUUAAGUGGGAAACGAUGUGGGAAGGCCCAGACAGCCAGGAUGUUGGCUUAGAAGCAGCCAUCAUUUAAAGAAAGCGUAAUAGCUCACUGGUCGAGUCGGCCUGCGCGGAAGAUGUAACGGGGCUAAACCAUGCACCGAAGCUGCGGCAGCGACACUAUGUGUUGUUGGGUAGGGGAGCGUUCUGUAAGCCUG